rnacentral:rRNA from 1 species
AGCGAACGCUGGCGGCAGGCUUAACACAUGCAAGUCGAACGCCCGGGCAACCGGGAGUGGCAGACGGGUGAGUAACACGUGGGAACGUACCCUUUGGUUCGGAAUAACUCAGGGAAACUUGAGCUAAUACCAGAUAAGCACUUAUGGGGAAAGAUUUAUCGCCGAAGGAUCGGCCCGCGUCCGAUUAGCUAGUUGGUGAGGUAACGGCUCACCAAGGCGACGAUCGGUAGCUGGUCUGAGAGGAUGAUCAGCCACACUGGGACUGAGACACGGCCCAGACUCCUACGGGAGGCAGCAGUGGGGAAUAUUGGACAAUGGGGGCAACCCUGAUCCAGCAAUGCCGCGUGAAUGAUGAAGGCCUUAGGGUUGUAAAGUUCUUUUAUUGAUGAAGAUAAUGACGGUAAUCAAUGAAUAAGCACCGGCUAACUUCGUGCCAGCAGCCGCUGUAAAAC